rnacentral:lncRNA from 1 species
GGCAAAGUAUUUCUUGACCGCAUCUGUGUUCACAAGAUGAGUGAACUCUUCACCAUCCAUAGUUGUAAGAAUGAAUGCACCGCCUGAAAAGGCUCUCUUAACAACGUAUGGGCCUUCAUAAUUGGGAGUCCAUUUUCCUCUGGAAUCUGGCUUGAACGAUAAGAUCUUCUUGAGCACAAGGUCACCUUCUCUGAACACUCGAGGUUUGACUUUCUUAU